rnacentral:lncRNA from 1 species
AGUGAUUAACGUCGAUUUACGAGGGUUUUACAUCGAAAUGUUUACGUGUUCUUUACAACGAAAGUAUUUACGUCUGCUUUACAUCAAAACAGUUACGUGGAGUUUACCAAGAAAACUUACGUCUCGUUUACGACGAAACAUUGCCCUGCGCUUUACGAGGAAUUUAUUUCGUCGUAAACGUAACAAGUCGUUUACGACGAAAUCUCCGUUACGACGGACGUUUUACAAUGAAACGUAUUUCGAGGUUAAUUCGUC